CAGGUGCAGAUCCACUAGCAACUGAGACAGGGAGAGACCAGUGUGGGCUGAGAGCUAUAAGAGAGAACUGUAUGGAAAGUGUGUAAUAAUGUGGAGUGCUGCUGCUUUCCAAAAGGGAAGGAUUCCUUAAAGUGUCACUCAGGCCGAACUUUUACCUCACACGGCAGCCGAUUUCUGCAGCAAAGGUCAGAUUUGUUAUCUAUCAAAAUAAGCCAGAAGAAGGGAAUAAUGAGCUGCUUCAAAGAACCGGCCUUUUUACCUUCUGAAUGGGAAUCUAAAUCAUGGCAGGGGAGCAUUGACUGAAAAUCAUUCUGCUCUGUCUACAGGAAAGGGCCAAACACCUUGCUUUCUUCAACCGGCUUCAGGAAAAACAGUUUUUGCUUAAUGCUUCUGUGGUUUUUUUUAUAUAUAAAGUUAGGCAGUAACAUGAAAUCAAUGUCAGAUGUGUGUCCAAGGGACUUGGGGCAGUAAAUAGAAAUCGUGGUUGUAUGACGUGACCUACAAUAUAAGAGGUGAGCAAGAUAUUUGUUAUUAGCACAUUCUGGUCGAUCACAUUAGUUAUUAAGGUGUGCUACACUAUUGAGUGGUGUAUUUAGGCUGUAAACUACUGAAUGAAUAAUAUGCCAAAUAGGGGAGAAGGUAUUGAUGAGGGGACUGGUGAAUUAAAGAAAAAUUUGGAGCAUAAUUCUUCUUUGAUCAGAACGCAACUCGCACCCGACCUUAACCCACACCCAAUUCCAUCACAAACCCAUCUGGGUCCCCACAGGGUUUAGGGUUAACCCGCACAUCACUACUGCAAACUAUUCAUUUAAUUGGAUCAUCUACAGACUGAAAAGUAGCUAUCAUUAAUACAGGAAUAGGACCUGUUAUCUAGAAACCUAUUAUACA